AUUGAACGCUGGCGGCAGGCCUAACACAUGCAAGUCGAGCGGAUGAAGGGUGCUUGCUCCUGGAUUCAGCGGCGGACGGGUGAGUAAUGCCUAGGAAUCUGCCUGGUAGUGGGGGAUAACGUCCAGAAACGGGCGCUAAUACCGCAUACGUCCUGAGGGAGAAAGUGGGGGAUCUUCGGACCUCACGCUAUCAGAUGAGCCUAGGUCGGAUUAGCUAGUUGGUGGGGUAAAGGCCUACCAAGGCGACGAUCCGUAACUGGUCUGAGAGGAUGAUCAGUCACACUGGAACUGAGACACGGUCCAGACUCCUACGGGAGGCAGCAGUGGGGAAUAUUGGACAAUGGGCGAAAGCCUGAUCCAGCCAUGCCGCGUGUGUGAAGAAGGUCUUCGGAUUGUAAAGCACUUUAAGUUGGGAGGAAGGGCAGUAAGUUAAUACCUUGCUGUUUUGACGUUACCAACAGAAUAAGCACCGGCUAACUUCGUG
rnacentral:rRNA from 1 species